rnacentral:rRNA from 1 species
UUUCCCUCAGGAUAGCUGGCACUCGCUUGAGCGAGUCUCAUCUGGUAAAGCGAAUGAUUAGAGGCCUUGGGGCCGAAACGACCUCAACCUAUUCUCAAACUUUAAAUGGGUGAGAUCUCUGGCUUGCUUGAACGUUGAAGCCAUGAGAUAUGGGUCCACUGUGACCGUUGGAUCAGAGUGCCAAGUGGGCCAAUUUUGGUAAGCAGAACUGGCGCUGUGGGA